UAAUAAUAAUUUUAAAGGCUGCGGUAUUUAAACUGUACAAAGGUAGCAUAAUCAUUAGUUUUUUAAUUAAAAACUUGUAUGAACGGUUGAAUGAAAUAUAGACUUUUUUAUAUUAAAUUAUAAAAUUUUACUUUUUAAUAAAAAGGUUAAUAUAUAUAUAUAAGACGAGAAGACCCUAUAGAUUUUUAUAUUAAAUAUUUUAUUUAUAGAUUAAUUAUAGUUAUAAAGAUUUAUUUUAAAAUUUUUAAAAUAAAUAGUAUUAUUUUGGGGCGAAAUAUAAAUUUAUUAAACUUUAUUUUAUUUUAAUCAUUAAUUUAUGAAAAUUAUUAAAUGUUUGAUCCAAUAAUAUUGAUUAAUAAAUUAAAUUACCUUAGGGAUAACAGCGUAAUAAUAUUUAAAGUUCAUAUUAAAAAUAUUUUUUGCGACCUCGAUGUUGGAUUAAGAUUAAAUUUUAAUGCAGUAAUUAAAAAUUUAAGUCUGUUCGACUUUUAAUUUCUU
rnacentral:rRNA from 1 species